CCUGAAUCGCAGUGGGAAUCAGGGAGGCGGCAACACCUGCGUGCCGUCAUAAAGACCCCCACCAUGCCCUCGUAAAGACCCCCAUCACACCGUCCUGAAGACCCCCACAUACCCUCGUAAAGACCCCAUCACACCAUCCUAAAGACCCCCACACACACUCGUAAAGACCCCAUCACACCAUCCUGAAGACCCCACACACCCUCGUAAAGACCCCAUCACACCGUCCUAAAGACCCCCACAUACCCUCGUAAAGACCCCCAUCACACCGUCCUGAAGACCCCCACACACCCUCGUAAAGACCCCAUCACACCGUCCUGAAGACCCCCACACACACUCGUAAAGACCCCAUCACACCAUCCUGAAGACCCCACACACCCUCGUAAAGACCCCAUCACACCGUCCUGAAGACCCCACACACACUCGUAAAGACCCCAUCACACCAUCCUGAAGACCCCACACACCCUCGUAAAGACCCCAUCACACCGUCCUGAAGACCCCACACACCCUCGUAAAGACCCCAUCACACCGUCCUGAAGACCCCACACACCCUCGUAAAGACCCCAUCACACCGUCCUGAAGACCCCACACACCCUCGUAAAGACCCCAUCACACCAUCCUGAAGACCCCACACACCCUCGUAAAGACCCCAUCACACCAUCCUGAAGACCCCACACACCCUCGUAAAGACCCCAUCACACCGUCCUAAAGACCCCCACACACCCUCGUAAAGACCCCAUCACACCAUCCUGAAGACCCCACACACACUCGUAAAGACCCCAUCACACCGUCCUAAAGACCCCCCCUAUUGCCGGGCGCGGUGGCUCACGCCUGUAAUCCCAGCACCUUGGGAGGCUGAGGCGGCGGAUCACGAGGUCAGGAGGUGGAGACCAUCCUGACUAACACGGUGAAACCCCAUCUCUACUAAAAAUUAGCCGGGCGCGGUGGCGGGCGCCUGUGGUCCCAGCUACUCGGGAGGCUGAGGCAGGAGAAUGGCG
rnacentral:lncRNA from 1 species